CUUUCUCGUGAAUCCACGUGUAACGGGCCCGGCCCAGCACUGGCCGGCCGGACAGAGUUCUUCCACCUGCCUUCCCGAGGGCGGCACGCGGCUGCAGCACGGGUUGAGCCAUCGGAAGCCCUAGGACUCGGCAGGUUGCGUGGUAAUCCCGGAAGCCCCUGGGAACCUAGUUCGGCGUGGCCGUAGGCUGGCGGAUCCGGAGGGGGCGGGCUCCAAAGCUGGCUCCCAGCUCUGCUGCCACCUCCCCUUUACAGUUGGGAAGAAAGAAAAAGAAACUUAUCCUUUAGCUUAAAUCACCAGACCCCAAGAAGCCACAUCUGGACCUGAAAGAGUGCCUGGACUCCAAGCUAUAUGUCGGAGCUGGUGAGACUGCAGGUUAUCUCCUUUGUGGAGGAGUGAGCGCACUCCAUGCGAAAUGUGUAUGUAGCUAGAUGGCCAUGUGACACAGUUCUAGGUAUGAUACAUAAGGAGAAUUUGGAGAAUCUUGCUUUUCUGAUAAAGGAGAUAGUGACUGGUGUAGACUGUCCCCUUCUGAAUAGGUAUGUAACACCUCAGCAAGUCAUCCUCCAGCCAUGAAUGGAAGUCGUGGAGAAUUUCAGAAAGGCAGGCCCAAUGCUGUCAAGCUGCUGACCAGUACCAGCAGCUGCCUACCUCCAGAUAUCUUGUUAUGUGGGGAGAACUCCUGUUUGUUUAAGCUACUCUAAGACAGUUACUUGUAGUCCAAAGCAUUCCCAAGUAAUACAGAGGUCAAGCAAGAUGCAGACUCACAUGUGAAUUGAAUUUAUCAAUCCAAGGACACUGGGGCCUCAGAGAGCAGUUUAUGUGCAGUGCAAGGCAGCAGUAGAUUGCAGGGGUGGUGAACAGCUAGUAGGUAAGCACUGGGUACAGUAAGCACAGGCAAGUCUUUCAAGAAUUGGCUGUGAAGGGGAAGGAAGAGAAAAGGUCCAGGAAGGGGUGUCUUUAAGAUGGAGCGCCUUCUGUACGUUUAAAUUCUUUUGGGAAGGGGUCAGUAAAGAUGGCGAGACUGAAGAGACAGCAGAGUGGACAAAACUGAAAGGACAGGUUACCGAGGAGGAAGGGGAGAAUGGUUCCAAAGCCCAGAUGGGGGCGAGCCUGAGAUUUGAGAGGCAUGGUUACUUGCUGAGAGCACUGUAAUUGGGGGAGGGGCAGGGAGCUUGAGUGGGUCAGAGUUUGAAAUUGUCUUUGUAUAACUGGGAAAGCAAGCUGCAUAGGGAAGACAGAAGGCCUUCUGGCCUGAGUUGAAGGCCCAGCUGAAAUUGAAGAUUAUUUAUUUAUAAUGGCACAGUCUGCAUAAUUAUUUGAUUGUAUACCACGGUUAAUGUACAUUUCUUUGAUACCAUCAUAAGCUGGCUCCCACUCCCUUGGGACUGAUGUUUAAUGAUGAUUCACUCAGGGGUGCUUUUGUGCUGUUCCCCGACAUGGGCAGCUCCUAUCCAGCAAACGGCUCCUGGUCCUCUCUCGGUAUCUUGUUUCCCCGGCUCUCCAGCAGACACCCUUUUGGGUGGGAUCCCUUUAAAAACGCUCCUAAGCUGCUGGCUCAAGGGCUUACGACUUUGGUCGGGUUUGAAAGGGGUCCAGGCAGACUCAGGCAAACCCUGUGGGGCCCAACAUGGGACCUGCACAGUGGAGGAGCAAUGCUAAGGGAGGUAUUGGGGAGGAUGGGCCAAGGAGAGCGUCCUCACGGAGUCCUGGGGUCCCAGGCAAGAAUUCCCAGGCUCUCCAGAGGAGAGAGGUGUGAAGAUGAAGCACACAGACUGGGAUGAGGAGAACGCAACGUGCAUGGAGCCGACGAUGAGAGACCAUGGCAGGACUUCUGAGGCGAGUAGGACAUGCAGACAGCACAGGGUGUGUGCUGUCCUGGCCUAUUUGCCCUCAGAUCCAUCCCUCACUCUUCCCCGUCGUGCUCUGCAUCACAGGGGGGCUGAGCAGUGGGCUGCAUUUUCUGGCCUCCCCUGUCAGCUGGGGCAGGACUUCAUAUUUCUUCCCUCUUAUUGAUAUUUCUGAUAAGGGUGAAAUAUGGUGCUAAAAGCUUAGAAUUUUGGCUUGUGUUAGGAUGUUCUGAAUCUGGUAUAUAGUAAACUGGGGUGGUGAAAAUGAUAACCAUCUGCUUUUAGUGACUCACGUCUUCCAUCCCUGACUUUAUCAAAGAAUAUAUUAUUCCUGAUGGAAAGUUUCACGAACACGG